AGUGUGGUUUUUUUUGUGUCAAGAACAGACUCAUUGUGCAGCCUGUGAAUGAAUUCAUUCUCACCUGCUGAUUGAUGCUCUUCUCUAGAUGGAGCUGCAGUGGAAAUGGACACUUGUGGUCCGAUGUCCGGCCCCUCCCGCAUGCUCUGAUCAGCCGAAUGAGCAAGACCUGGCUCUUGGUUGGAAGCGCUGAUGUUGCACAUGCAGCCCGGUCUUUUAUGUCUCAUGUCCAGUUACACACGUUGUUUGAAGCACCAUCUUAGAGGCAGCCUUGAUUUCUGCAGCCCCGAGCUUUGUGCCACGAGAGCUCUCCUGCUUCUCGCUGUGAUGUGAGACCAAAUGGAAGGCCCUGCAGAAGUCUGGACCCAGAGAUGGAGCAGAGAGGAACACAGACUUGGGUGGAUCUUCAUUCAGGAGCAGGGACACGUCAUGCUCAUCUGAGGUGUCUGGCUGACAGCAAGAGCAGAGAGCUUUAGCUCUCAUUCCAUCAGAGCAAAGCGACAAGGAACUGCUGCAGAUAGCUUGAGGUGAUCUCACUGCCAGCUGUUCACACUUUGUGAUGGGUGCUGCUGCAGUG